UUCAACCCUCACCCUUCCUUGUUUUUUCCGCCUAUAUACCACCGUCGUCAGCCUACCCUGUGAAGGUCCCAUAGUAGGCAAAAUUGGCAUCGCCCAAAACGCCAGGUCGAGGUGUAGCGCAUGGAAGGGGAAGUAAUGGGCUACAUUCACUCUUACAGUGUAUACGAAUAGGGCACUGAAACGUGCCCAUUGAAGGAGGAUUUAGCAGUAAGCAGGAAAUAGAGUGUUCCGCUGAAAUUGGCCCUGAAGCGCGUACAUACCGCCCGUCACUCUCCCCGAGCCCCGUGAUCACAUACCUAAAACCAAGCAGGCACAAAGGGGAGGCAAGUCGUAACAUGGUAAGUGUACCGGAAGGUGCACUUGGAAAAGC
rnacentral:rRNA from 1 species